AGUGAACGCUGGCGGCAGGCCUAAUACAUGCAAGUCGAACGGCAGCACAGCAGAGCUUGCUCUGUGGGUGGCGAGUGGCGGACGGGUGAGGAAUACAUGGGAAUCUGCCCAGUCGUGGGGGAUAACGUAUGGAAACGUACGCUAAUACCGCAUGCGCCCUAAGGGGGAAAGCCGGGGACCGCAAGGCCUGGCGCGAUUGGAUGAGCCCAUGUUCGAUUAGCUAGUUGGCGGGGUAAAGGCCCACCAAGGCGACGAUCGAUAGCUGGUCUGAGAGGAUGAUCAGCCACACUGGAACUGAGACACGGUCCAGACUCCUACGGGAGGCAGCAGUAGGGAAUAUUGGACAAUGGGGGCAACCCUGAUCCAGCCAUGCCGCGUGAGUGAAGAAGGCCCUCGGGUUGUAAAGCUCUUUUGUCCGGAAAGAAAAGCAUCUGGUUAAUACCCGGGUUUCUGACGGUACCGAAGAAUAAGCACCGGCUAACUUCGUGCCAG
rnacentral:rRNA from 1 species